rnacentral:lncRNA from 1 species
GCUGCAGAGUCUCAUUCUGCAUGUGACUGAAAAUGGUGAGCCUGUGUGUGCAGUCAUGUCUGGUCUGAUUAGAGGCAUGUAGAGGACACCUACUGUGUGGCAGGAGUAUUUUGACAUAUUUUCAAGCCAGAUUAGAAAACUGACUUGACAUUCAUGUGGUCUUUUGGUUUAUGUGGCACAUUUAUUCAUGUUCUAUUUCUACUUUAGACAAAUGGUCUUACAACACAUUUUUCAGGGAUGCCACAUUGGGGCAGGCCAGACUUGGUAGGAAGUAGUGACUUGGCUCCCCAUGUUCUCUGAAGCUGCCUAUUCCCUGCACAUUCCAGUUAGGGUUUAGUUUAUUCUAGAAGGUCCAAGGUGAUGUUGAUCAUCCUCUAGGAUUCUAUCUUGGUGACAGAGGGUGAAAAAGGACUCGUAGGGGCUACUUCCUCAUGGGCUUGCUCCUGGAAACUCAUCUGAACUUUCAUUAGACCAACCAUGUGAAGAGGCUGAUGUCUGAAAAAAAUGUGGCCUGGAAACACAAGGCAGUUUACAUUUAAGGUAGUUGUUGUCCUGCUUAGACCAAUUCCUCACAAAGCUUGAAAUAAACAAUCCUGAGCAAAUUUUUUGUUAGUGACAUUUUAAC